AGGCCUAAGGACUGUCAAGCCCACCAUCCGAUUUGCAAUCGAACAUCAUAUUAGACC
rnacentral:tRNA from 1 species